rnacentral:rRNA from 1 species
AAUACAACUUUCAGCAACGGAUCUCUUGGCUCUCGCAUCGAUGAAGAACGCAGCGAAAUGCGAUAAGUACUGUGAAUUGCAGAAUUCAGUGAAUCAUCGAAUCUUUGAACGCACCUUGCGCUCCUUGGUAUUCUGAGGAGCAUGCCUGUUUGAGUGUC